UAGAUCUAGCGUUUUCAGAUGGAGAAUUACCUUUUCAUCAAACGAACGAGCGGCGUGUUGGUAGUUUUUGGGAACAUGCGGUGGUUUUUUCUUGAUUGAUCGAAAAUGGGAAGAUAAGUUUGCUUUCUCGACAAUAAACAUGGCUAAUCGUUGGAGAUUAAGAUGGUCACUCAGUAAGGAAACCUUGUUGACGGAAUUUUGGGUUGCCGGAAAAUAUAGCUAGGGUUUCUUACGGUGGUUUUAUUCAAUAAUAAUCUGUUGGGUUAC
rnacentral:lncRNA from 1 species